rnacentral:rRNA from 1 species
CACGUAGUUAGCCGGGGGCUUCUUAAUCAGGUACCGUCUGGCGACCCAAAGGUCGCUAUUUCUUCCCUGCUGAUAGAGCUUUACAUACCGAAAUACUUCUUCACUCACGCGGCGUCGCUGCAUCAGGGUUUCCCCCAUUGUGCAAUAUUCCCCACUGCUGCCUCCCGUAGGAGUUUGGGCCGUGUCUCAGUCCCAAUGUGGCCGUUCACCCUCUCAGGCCGGCUACUGAUCGUCGCCUUGGUGAGCCAUUACCCCACCAACAAGCUAAUCAGACGCGGAACCAUCGUAUACCACCAGAGUUUUUCACACCACUUCAUGCGAAGCUGUGCGCUUAUGCGGUAUUAGCACCUAUUUCUAAGUGUUAUCCCCCAGUAUACGGCAGGUUUUCCACGCGUUACUCACCGUCCGCCACUAACUCAUAAUCACUAGGUUUCAAUAUGAGCCCGUUGACUUGCAUGUGUUAAGCACGCCGCAGCUUCACUCCUGAGCCAGGACUC